rfam:Lactobacillus odoratitofui DSM 19909 = JCM 15043 strain DSM 19909 NODE_186, whole genome shotgun sequence.
GAAACCUUUAACAAUUAGUCCUGUGAGGCUAAGAAGGAUCGUUGAAAGUACUAGACUUGUUCUAGUCUUUAGUGAACCUCUCUACCCACAGGCGGUAGAGAGGUUUUUUGU